rnacentral:tRNA from 1 species
AGGCGCUUAGCUCAGUUGGUAGAGCGUCGGUCUCCAAAACCGAAGGUCGUAGGUUCGAUCCCUGCAGCGCCUGCCA